GUCUCGUGAUUGGGUGAGUUGCUCAUUCCUGAAAACAGGGAAAUGACACAUAAACAAGCCCCUAGAAGAGAAGUUUUAGCUUCUCUCCCAGGGGCUCCGUUGUACUGAAGCCUACUACUGCCUUCUGGUCAUCUUGGAGGCAGCAGAGUCAUGGUGGACCCCCAGGAAGAGAAGUUCAAAGUUGUUGCCUGGAGGAGAUGGGAGACGAGGGAGAUGGAGGCAGUGUAAUCCUUGGAUAAGACUGCAUGACUGGUGGAAAGAAGACGAUGGAGUAGAAAAGCACCAGGAGUCUGUCUCACCACCUGGACAAUAAUUACAUUGACAGAAUCUGUCUGAUACAGCUAUUCAGGAACUCUGGAGUCUAUGGAAGUUCUGCCAUUUGCAGGGAAAGGCAUGGUAAAUUGCAGUUAAUUCUGAUACAUUUCAGCUCAUAGCACAAUAGCAGCUGCCCAUUCCCCACCCUGUCUUGCCACAGGAAGCUAGCUAUACACAUGUUCCUGGAGUAGCUCACACACAGCUUGUGGGAGCCAGGGAAGGGGAAAAAGACUCUGUCCUCCCAAUACUGAGGAUCCGUGCUCUGAUCAGUGAUGGCUGGAUCAGAUCAUAGAGGUACAGACAAAGAGGCAGUGGCCAUUGUUGUUGCACCUCCUCUCCUUGCUGCAAUCCCCUCCACAUCCAGCUGAAGUGAUUUCCAGGGGGUCUUAAAGGGUCAGCACCCUUUUCCUUACUCCAUCCCUAUCAUUUUUCUCUUUCUUCCCUCUGGGGAGCCAGACAUUAAAGACGAGGACAUUUAAAACAAUGGCAUAUAUUGGAAAAAAUGUAAAAGUGACUGUAUAUGGCCAAGGAAAGGAACAGGUUCAGGAAAGACCGGAGAAGACCUUAAGUUUACACCUUAGUUUGAUCCUUGGUACAGAGACAGCCUACAACAACAACAACAACAACAACAACAAUAACAAUAAUAACAAAGAAAAUCGUAACAAAGCAGCAAACUCAGAGGAAUGUGGAGAAUUGGAUUUCCAGUUACAUUAUUAGAUUCAAAUGUCUUGUUUUCUAUAACAGUAACAACAAAUAAGGCAUACAAGGUAUCAGGAAAGUAUGGUGCAAAGAAAAAAAUAAAUCAACAUAAGCUAUCCCUGAAAAAGACCUGAUGGCAGAUCUACUAGACAAGAACUCCAAAACAACUUUUAAAGGUGUUCAAAUAACUAAAGAAUGACAUGGAGAAAGUCAAGAAAAUGAUGUAUGAACAAAAUGGAAAGAUGGUAAAGAGAGAGAAAACCUAAGAAGAAACCAAAAAGAAAUUAUGGAGCUGAAAAGUACAAUACCUGACGUGAAAAAUUCACAAGAGGGAUUCAAAGGCAGAUUUGAAUGGGCAGAAGAAAGAAUCUGUUAACUUGAGAAUGAGACAGUGGAUAUUGUCAAGUCUGAGAAACAGAAAGAAAAGACAUUGAAGAAAGGUAAACAGAGCCAAAGGGACAUGUGGCACCCCAUCAAAUGAGCCAGGACCUGCAUACUUAUGUCUUUUCUUUCUGUUUCUCAGAAGCAGUAAUGGCUGAAAACGUCCUAAAUUUGAUUAAAGACAUGAAUAUAAACAUCCAAGAAGCUCAAUGAACUUUAAGUUCUGAACUCCACUAAGACACAUUAUAGUCAAACUUUUAAAAGACAGAGAAACUUGAAAGCAGCAGAGAGAAGCAACUCAUCACAUACAAGUGAUCCUCAAUAAAAUAACUAGCAGAUUUCUCCUCAGAAACUUUGGAAGCCAGAAGACAGUGAGCUGAUAGUUAUUAACACUAGACUUGCUCUGCAAGAAAUGCUCAAGGGAGUCCUGCAGGGUGAAAUAAAACAAUAGACAGUAACUCGAAACCAAAUGAAGAAAUAAAUUCUCAGUAAAGAUAAAUAUACAGGUAAUUAUAAAAGCUAGAAUUAUGGUAAUAAUGCACUUUUUGUUUUCUAAAUGAUUUAAGAAAUUAAUGUGCUAAAAAGAAAUAUUACUUUAUGUUAUAUAAAAGGUGUAAUUUGUGACUUCAAUAAUCAAAAUGGAUGAGGACAAUGCAUAAAGGAUCAGGAUUUUUGUAUGUUAUUGAAGUUAAUGUGGCAUAAAUCCAAAUCAGAGCAUUGUAAAUUUAGAAUGUUAAAUGUAAUCCCAUGGUAAUCUCAAAGAAAAUAGCUAUAGAAUAUAUACGCACAAAAAAGUGAGAGAGAGAAAUGGAUUUAAACAUCUCUCUACCAAAAAAAAAAAAA